rnacentral:rRNA from 1 species
UACAUGGGGUGCAAACGUUGCUCGGAAUCACUGGGCGUAAAGGGCGCGUAGGCGGCUUUAUAAGUCGGGGGUGAAAGCCUGUGGCUCAACCACAGAAUUGCCUUCGAUACUGUAGAGCUUGAGACCGGAAGAGGUAAGUGGAACUGCGAGUGUAGAGGUGAAAUUCGUAGAUAUUCGCAAGAACACCAGUGGCGAAGGCGGCUUACUGGUCCGGUUCUGACGCUGAGGCGCGAAAGCGUGGGGAGCAAACAGG